rnacentral:lncRNA from 1 species
UAAAUAAACAAUAACUCACUUCAAUAUAAAUAAAAAUCGUUCAAUACAUAAGCACAACAAGAUAUUUAAUCCACACUUUAAAUAUUAAUAUUCCCAUAAAUAAGAUUCAAGUGUUAGAAAAAAUACUACUAACUUAAAUACUCAAUACAAAGCAAGGAAAUGGAGAAAUGAACAUAAAUAGGUAAGAAAUUCUCAACCAAAAUCUUCAAAUCUUCAAGACCCAAGUGUGUGUAAAAGAACCCUAGCUCCAAAACUUGUGUUCUCUAGUCAAGAGAUGUCAAAUAUGUCCAGAUAUUGGCCAAAUAUCUUUUACAAAAUGGGCUAAGUCAUGUAUUUGUGGGUUUGGGAUAGAGAAAAUGUGAACUGUCAAUCUUGCCGAGGUCUGAAGACUGUUGACAACAACGGUGGAAGAAUCCUCGCAGGUGUGAUUCCGCAGAUGUGGAUACCUGCUUACAGAAGUGACGAUUGGUGAAAAAUACUAUUCUGCAAAAGCGGACCACGAGGCACAGAAGCGCACAGGCAGGUUCGGAUCCUUUGUGCAGAAGCAUCUCCGCAGACGCGGAUGACCAAUCGCACAUGCGAUCCCAGCGGAGAUUUGCCCAGUUUCGCAGAUGCGGCCUCCAAUUCGUAGACGCGAGCUCGCAGACGCGCACAAUGUUCUGCAGAUGCAGAAUCACUUAAGGAAUUUGCAUUUUUAACUCUUUUUUGCUCAAUUCCACUUCAAUUGAAUUCAACUCUCUUCAUGGCUUCAUUUACCUGAAAAUAUAGCAAUACACACCAUAAACAAUCUCAUAUUAUAAUUAAAGGAUAAAAAAUCUAAAGAAAAUGGACUAAAAUAAAUGGUAAAAUAACCACUCAUCACCUGCCUGUGUGCCUGUGGUUUGGAAGGUUUUUGUUUCCCUAUUAGCUACAACCUUAAGGGUUAAGUACUUAGAUUUCAAAGUUGUUUAGUUGGACUAGUAUAUAGAUUGUCACUUGUUAUUACGGUUGGUUUGGUACUCAAAUGGGUAAGCAAGGUAGUUGUUUGGGCCUAUUUGCUGGGCUAGUUUGGUAAUGAGAGCUAAAGCGCAUCAACUGCCAUCUAGAGUGUGGGCCUACUCAUCCACACAAGGUUCCAAGCUUAGUUGAAGGCCCAGUAGCACCCCUGGGUAUUCUGUAUUUAUGUUGGGCCUGUAGUGAUCCUAGUUAGGCCAGUGAUCACUCUAUUGAGCUUGUAAUUAUGCUAUUUGGGUCUGUAAUAACUGAAUGAUGGGAAAUUAAUGAAAAUGGGGUUGGGGGUGUUCUAAUGCUCGCAUGAACUGGUAGAAAACAUGCCUAUAGGGUUUAACUGCCUUGUUCGAUAUUUGUUUUUUGAUUCUACACACUAAUAGAAAUCAUGUCUAUAGGAAUCGCACACACUUCACUUAACUUGUCUAAUAAUGGUGCAUUAUUCAAAGUAUGUUAGCUCAAGUAAUUGCUACUCUUAUUUCCAUGUCUACCACUGAACGCUUUAGACAAUAUGUUUAUAGGAAUCAAAUGCCUUGCUUAACCAUUAAACAAUAUGCAUAUAGGAUACAAUAAUGCACGCCUUUGAUAAUACUCAUCUAGAUACCAUGACUAUAAGGGUUUAAAUAAUUAAUCAACUUUCUUCUGUUACUUUUAUAUAUUGCCUCACUUAGAGGACAUGCCUAUAGUGGUAAAGUGUUAUGAAUUCAAGUCUUAUUGUCAAUUGUUAGAAAUCCUGCCUAUAGGAUAUUGUCACUCUCAUAAGAAACCGUUUACGAAAUCAAUGUUGCUAAUUCUGGGUUCUCAAAGUUGUGUUACCGCCUCAUUUUGUGAACAAUUUAGAUAUCAUGCCUAUAGGGUUGUAAUACUUUUAAUCUACAACUCUGUUAGCCUAAAGUUGUAACGCUGCCUGUACACUGCUGGAAAUCAGAAUCAUCUAGAAGUUAUGCCUAUAGGACUUAACAGUUAUAAAUGUCUCUUAACUCUGAAACUGUCUACAGCCAAAAUCUGCUCGCGUGCAUUUCUUGCUUAUGUGUGGGAGGCGAACCUGAGCCAUUUGUUGCCUUUAUGUGAAGUCCUAUAUGUUUUGAAUGUGCGCCUAGUUUUAUCAUUUUGAUCAUCCUAAGUAAAGUCUAGAACCACCCAAUAGUAGGUCCAAAGAUGGGACGGAUAGUGCACGCAUAGGACGCGACCUAGCAUUGAAUUAGAGAGCCUUUAAGUAACAACUUUAAUAUAGUAAUCAGUUAGCACGAGCUGAUAGUCUGUGCCCACUGAAUAAUAUGAGCAACCCCUACCCUAAGGGAGUUGUGAAGCACGGGGUGAUCCUUUAGGCUAAAAAACUUAGGACAUCUUCCCUUUAUAUGCUUGUUGUUCAUACUUAGUCAUCAAAUAUAGACCAACGCAGUUGUGUCCGUAUAACCUCUAAGAUUUGUACUAGAUAUUUAUAUAGUUUAAUUCUUAAGCUAUUUUCUUUACAAUUGUUUAUAUAGAACCUUCAACUUCCACAUCUUUUUUCAUUUAUAUGAUCACUUAGCUUAAUUCAAUAAUCCACAUAGCGUAAACUUCGGCCGGGACCCACCGUUGUGGACCUCGAAGAGUGCCUAACACCUUCUCUUCGAGUUAAUUUGAGCCCUUACCUGUUCUUUGGUGAUGUAGACUACUCAAACAGAGUUAUUUGCAAAUAGUGCCCUAACGAACCUUAACGUUAGGUGGCGACUCUUCCAUUUUAGUACCCAUUUAAAAGAGUCGUCACACGUCGAAACCCACUUUCGCGAGAAAACGGGGCGCGACACACGUUAACCCAUAUCCUUAUACUGUAGCAUGCAAAUCACCAUCACAACACAAUAUUAACUCGCACCACAUGUGCCCUUAUACCAAAACUUACCAAAUUCACAAUACCAAAUGUUACCACAACAUAUAACCCACGGCUCAACCACAAUGUGUACAAGAAUCUCAAAUUAACAAAAUGAAUGAAACAUUCUCAACAAAUAAUAAUAUCUCAACAACCAACAACUUCAACCUCAAUGUGUUAAUAGCUUUUCACGACUUCAACCUCAAUAACUCAAAAUAAAGGUAUUUCCAAAAUGGUCAUUUCCAAUUCAAAUGUAUAGCAUAUGCUUAAAAUAGAAAGAAAUAGUGUGAAAUGGUAACUACAUCUAAAUGUAUGAUAACGACUCAACACAACAAGACAUCAUAUAAUAACAACUCCAAUAAGAAUAACAUGACAAUAAAAGAGGUAACAUGACAAUAAGAGAGGUAACAAUAUUAAUUAAGGCAUAUAAGAGCAAGUUUGACAACAAAAGAUAAAAUAUAUGUUAACAACGUCAAGUAAAGCAUAUAAGAGUAAUUUAACAAUGGAAGAUAUAAUAUGAUAUGACAAUGUCAAUUAAAUGCAUGAAAGAGCCUAAGAGUUUAGACCGGCCAAAAUACUACAUAUAAGCCCGUGUACAUACUCGUCACCUCGUGUACACGUCUUUCACAUAAUUCAAAUAACAUAAUUAACUCGUCUUCCAUAUAAUUCAAAUAACACAAUUAACCCAAAUCCUAAUGUGUAGUUUCCCCACACAAAGUUAGGCAAGAUACUUACCUUAACUAGGACAAAUCAACUCUCAAAAAUAGCUUUUUCCCUAAAACUCGCCUCUACGGGCUCAAAUCUAACCAAAAACGACUUAAUAACAUCAAAAAAUGCAAGAGAAACCAAUUACGAUUAAUAAAUGUAUGAUCUUUACACAAUUUUUCAAAAGUCAACAAAAGUCAAUCCUAGGUUUGUCCUGUCAAAACCUGGGUCCAAGGGUAGAUCCCUACCACCCAUAACCCCACGUGUACAUAUAUGUAUUUUGUUUUCAAAUCUGAGUCCAAAUCGACUCUCAAAACCCAAAUUUUUAUUUUUCAAAACUUUGAUAAAAAUCCCAAAAAUUCCUCUUUGUUUCUCAUAAAUUUGAUGUUAAAUAUAAUAUAUAAUCAUGAAAUAUAGUUUUAAAUUGAUUAGAAUCACUAACUAAAUGAUUGUAGAUUAAAAUCCCCUCUCCAAGUCGCCGCCUAGCGAGUCUAGGGUUCUAUAAUGAGAGAAAAUAAGAUAAAAUCCCGACUUCCAGCCGUUUUGUUCAGUUGCAGAUGUCGCAAUUGUGACUCUGGGUUCGUAAUUGUGAACCCUUGCAAUUGUGAAGAAAGUCUCGCAUUUGCGGCUGCUGACAAACCCAGGAGAUGUCGCAAUUGCAACAGAGACUUCGCAAAUGCGAAGUCUGCCCUCCUUGCAAAUGCGACCUAUUUAUCGCAAAUGCGAACUAACCCAUCGAAGCAUAAUCUUCGCAAAUGCGAACAAGGUAUCGCAAUUGCGAUAUUUGAGUCCCCCUUGUAAUGUUCUUAAUUGCAAAGCUGGUGCUCGCAAUUGCGACACUGUAGCACCAGCACACCAGCAACCUGUAUUUGAGUCCAAACCUUUCUGAAACACGUCUGAAACUCACCCGAGCCCUCGAAGUUCCAAACCAAACAUCCACACAAGUCUAAAAAUAUCAUGCGCACUUGCUCGCGUGAUAAAAACCCAAAAACAACAUCUAGAACUACGAAUCAGACAUCAAAGCACAGGAAUUUUAAAGAAAAGUUAAAGAACCUCUAGAAUUACAACCAAACGUCUGAAUCCUAUCAAACCAACUCCGAUUGACACAAAAUUUUGCGUACAAGUUCCAAAUAGCAAAACGGACCUAUUUCAAGUACCAAAACCAAAAUUUGAAGCUGAUAGCCAAAAAUUCAACCUAUGGUCAAACUUGGGAAAACUUAUAAGCCUCAAAUUGCCAACUUUCGGCAAAAUAAGUCAAAUCAACCUAGGGACAUCCAAAUUUAAUUCCAGGCAUACAUACAAGUACAAAAUCAUGAUACAAAUCUAUCGGAUCCAUCAAAAUACCAUUCCGAGAUCGUUUUCACAAAAUUCAAAUAUUGAUCAAUAUUUUCAACUUAGGCUUCUAAACCAAGAACCAAAGGGUCCAAAUCAAUCCAAAACCUUUCCGGAACGAAACUAACCAACCCCGCAAGUCAUAAAACCACUAAUACACAUGUGUGAAGAAUCAAAGGAGGAAGUGCGGUACAAAUACACAUAACGACUGGUCAGGUCAUCACAUUCUUCCCCUCUUAUGAGAAACGUUCAUCCUCGAACGUGCAUAGAGACAUAACUGAAGUGACGAAAAGGUGAGGAUAACAACUCCACACGUCAUGCUCGGUUUUCCAAAUCGCCUUCUCGACCGGAUGACCCCUCCAUCGAACCUUCAAUGAAGCAAUGUUCUUUGAUCUCAACUUCCGGACUUGCCUAUCCAAGAUAGCCACUGGCUCCUCAGCAUAAGCCAAAUCCUUGUCCAAUUGGACUGAGCUGAAAUCUAAUACAUGUGAUGGAUCACCAUAAGACUUCCGGAGCAUGGAAACAUGGAACACCGGGUGAACUGCUGACAAGCUAGGUGGCAAUGCAAGUCUGUAAGCCACCUCACCAACUCUCUUAAGGAUCUCAAAAGGACCAAUAUACUUAGGGCUCAACUUUCCCUUCUUCCUGAACCUCAUCACCCCUUCAUGGGUGAAACCGGAAGCAAAACCCUCUCUUCCACCAUAAAUGAUACAUCACGGGCCCUCCGAUCAACAUAACUCUUCUGUCUAGACUGUGCUGUACGAAGUCGAUCCUAAAUCAAUUUGCCUUUCUCCAAGGCAUCCCAAACCAAAUCAGUGCCCAACAACUUAACCUCACCCUGCUCAAACCAACCAACUGAAUAACGGCACCGCCUCCCAUAUAAGGCCUCACAAUGAGCCAUCUGAAUACUCGAUUAGUAAUUGUUGUUGUAGGAGAACUUUGCAAGCGGUAUAAACUGAUCCUAUGAACCCUCAAAAUCCAUAACAUAAGCACGUAGCAUAUCCUCCAAGAUCUGAAUGGUAUGCUCGGACUGCCCGUCCUUAUGGGGAUGAAAUGUUAUACUCAACUUGACCCGCGUGCCCAACUCACGCUGCACAGCUCUCCAGAAAUACGAUGUAAAUAGAGUGCCUCGAUCGGAGAUUGUGGAUACCGGCACACCAUGGAGACGAACAAUCUCGUGGAUAUAGAUCUGAGCCAGCUUCUCUGAAGAAUAGGUAGUCACCACUAGAAUAAAAUGUGCCGAAUUGAUCAGCCUAUCAACAAUAACCCACAUUGCGUCAAAAUUCUUCAAAGUCCGUGGGAGCCCAACAAUGAAAUCCAUGAUAAUACGCUCCAGCUUCUACUCGGGAAUCUCAAGUCUCUAAAGCAAAUUGCCAAGCCUCUGAUGCUCGUACUUUACCUGCUGACAGUUCAAGAACAAGCUACAUACCCCACUAUAUCUUUCUUCAUUCUUCUCUACCAAUAGUGUUGCCUCAAAUCCCGAUACAUUUUCAUAGCACCCGGAUGUAUGGAAUACUGCAAACAGUGGGCUUCCUCAAGGAUAAACUCACACAACCCAUCUACAUUGGGUACACAUAUCCAGACCUGCAUCCACAACACCCCAUUAUUACCGAUAAAAACCUCCUUGGCAUCGCCGUGAUAUACCGUAUCCUUAAGGACAAGAAAAUGGGGGUCAUCUUACUAACGCGCCCUGAUGCACUCAUAUAAAUAGGAUCGAGAAACCACGCAAGCAAGAACUCAUCUAGGCUCCGAAACGUCUAAUCUCACAAACUGAUUAACAAGGCCUUAACAUCUAUGGCUAGUGGCGUCUCUGUUGCCGGUGAAUAUGCCAAACUGCCCAUACACUCCACCUUCCUACUCAAUGCAUUGGCCACUACAUUGGCCUUCCCGGAAUAAUAUAGUAUGGUGAUAUCAUAGUCUUUAAGCAACUCUAACCAUCUCCGUUGCUGCAAAUUAAGGUCCUUCUUGAACAGAUGCCGGAGACUCCGAUGGUUGGUAUAGACGUCACAUGGAAUGCCAUACAGAUAGUGACUCCAAAUCUUCAAUGCGUGAACAAUGGUUGCUAGAUCUAAGUCAUGCACAUGAUAAUUCUUCUCAUGAACCUUCAACUGCCGGGAUGCGUAGUCAAUCACCCUACUGUCUUGCAUCAACACCGCACCAAGCCCAAUACGCGAUGCAUCACAAUACAUAGUGUAAGACCCCAAACCUGUAGACAACACCAACACUGGGGAUGUAGUCAAUACAGUCUUGAGCUUUUGAAAGCUCGCCUUACACUCCUUAGACCAUCUGAAAGGAAUACCCUUCUAGGUCAAUCGAGCCAAAGCAGCAGCAAUGGACGAGAAACCCUCUACAAAAUGUCGAUAAUACCCGACCAAACCAAGAAAACUCUGAAUCUCAGUAGCAGAAGACGGUCUAGGAAAACUUUGAACUUCCUCAAUCUUCUUUGGAUCUAUCUUAAUCCCCUCACUAGAUACCACGUGACCCAAAAACACCACCAAAUCAAGCUAAAACUCACACUUUGAGAAAUUUUGCAUAUAACUUCUUAUCCCUCAAGGUUUGGAGCACGAUCCUCAAAUGCUACUCAUGAUACUCAGAGAUGCAGGAAUAUACCAAGAUGUCAUCAUUGAAUACGAUGGAGAAUGAAUCAAGAUAUGACUGGAAUACACUGUUUAUCAUGUGCAUAAAUGCUACUGGGGUGUUGGUAAACAGCUGCCUAUAAUCGAUACACUAGAAACUCAUAGUGGCUAUAUCGAGUCCUGAAAGCAAUCUUCAGAAUGUCUGAAUCCCGAAUCUUCAACUGAUGAUAUCUUAACCUCAAAUCAAUCUUCGAUAACACUCCAGCACCUUGAAGCUAGUCAAACAACUCAUCAAUGUGCAGUAGUGGGUACCUGUUCUUGACUGUAACUUUCUCCAGCCACUUAUAAUCGAUACACAUCCUCAUAGUACCAUCCUUCUUCUUCACAAACAAAUGGAGCACCAUAAGGCGAGACACUUGGUCGGACGAAAUCCUUAUCAAGAAACUCUUCUAGUUGCUUCUUUAACUCUUCAACUCCACCGGUGCCAUACGAUAUGGUGGAAUAGAAAGGGGAUGAGUGCACGGCACUAGGUCAAUACCAAAAUCGAUAUUCCUAUUGGGCGGCAUGCCCCAAAUGUCUGUUGGAAAUACAUCUAAAAAAUCUCACUACUAGAACUGACUUAACGGUAAACAUAUCAGCACUAACGUCUCUCACAAAGGCUAUAUAUGCCUCAAACCCCUUCUCAACCAUUCAUCGUGCCUUAAGAAAGGACACAACCCCGCCAGAUAUAAUCCAAUGUACCCCUCCACUCCAACAAUGGGAAACUUGGCAUAGCCAAUGCCACGGUCUUGGCGUGACAGUCCAAAAUAGCAUGAUAGGGAGACAACCAGUCCAUACCCAAGAUCGCAUCAAAGUCUACCAUAUUGAGUAGAAAUAGAUCAACUCUGGUCUCAUAACCACCAAUGGCACCUAGACUCUAAGACUAGGUAAGCCUGACAUUCAUUGAUAGCUUAACAGAAAUAACAAACCAAGAUAACAAAAUAAACCUAUAAAGCUCAUAAUAACUCCAAAACAGAAAAUCAGUAACAAAAUCCCCAAAACAGGUGGAACCGAGUCAUAAGCUUUAGAGAAUGUACUAAAACCUCUAAUACAACAUUGUCCGAUAAUAGGAUGAACAAUAGUAAAGUAAUAACAGAAGGUGACUCUGAGGCCUACGAGCGUCGAGAAGGUAUACCUUGAAGUAUCCAGAUAUAAUUGUACGAUCACUAGUGUCCGACACGAGCAGAUGUACCUAGAUCUGCACAAAAAUAUGCAGAAAUGUAACAUGAGUACACCACAACGGUACCUAGUAAGUAUCAAGCCUAACCUCGAUAGAGUAGUGAUGAGGCCAGGUCAAGACACCUACUAGCAUAAGAAAACUGAACAGAGCAUAGUAUAGUCUAAUAAUGGAAAGUGAGGAAAUAAAUGAAAAUAAAGCAGUACAAUAAUGUAGGCUAAUGACGAAAUUUAAGGCGGUAAAAGCAACAAGAAGUGAACACAUGAGGAGAACAACAAGUGAUCAAAUACGGACAAAUACAAGUAAGACAAUGAAGAAAACAACGAGAAUUGUCCAACCAACAAGCCUUUUUAACAUGCAAUAUACAACAAGAAUCACAACCGAUGUAUCAUACCUCAUAACCUCAUUUCACAAAUCACAAUCACAACCUUUUCUUAUAUUGCCGCGUGAACCUUACAUUUAGAUAUUUUUGAAAAUAUUUUCACGAAAUAGCUACACGCGCUUUAGCCCUCUUAUGUCGCCAUGUGGCUUCAAGUAAUUCCCUUACUAGCAACACGCAUAUAAAUCUCACUUUAUAUCGCUGCAUGCACAUUAACCCUAUCCUUAUUCACAAUAUCACAACACAACACAAUAUCAACUCGUACCACAUGUUCCCAUAUACCACAACUUACCAAAUUCACAAUACCAAAUGUUACCACAACAUAUAGCUCAUGGCUGAACCACAAUGUCUACAAGAAUCUCAAAUUAACAAAAUGAAUGAGAAAUAGUCAACAAGGAAACUUAUUUUAACAACCAACAACUUCAACCUCAAUGUGUUAAUAGCUUUUCACGACUUCAACCUCAAUAACUCAAAAUGUUUCCACGAAAUGACAAUUUCCAAUUCAAAUACAUAGCAUAAGCUUAACAAUGAAAGAGAUAAUAUGAAAUGGUAACUACAUCUAAAUGCAUGAGAAUGACUCAACGCAACAAGACAUCAUGUAAUAACAACACCAAUAAGAAUAACUCGAUAAUAAAAGAGAUAACAUGACAAUAAGAGAGGUAACAAUAUCAAUUAAGAAAUAUAAGAGCAUGUUUGACAACAAAAGAUAAAACAUGUGUUAACAACAUCAAGUAAAGCAUAUAAGAGUAAUUUAACAAUGGAAGAUAUAAUAUGAUAUGACAAUAUCAAUUAAAUGCAUGAAAGAUCCUAAGAGUUUAGACCUGUCAAAAUACCACAUAUAAUCCCGUGUACACACUCAUCACCUCGUGUACACGUCUUUCAUAUAAUUCAAAUAACACAAUUAACCCAAAUCUAAAGGGGUAGUUCCCCCCACAAAGUUAGGCAAGAUAUUUUCCUUUACUAGGAUAAAUCAACCCUCAAAAUAGCUUUUCCCCUAAAAUUUACGUCUGCACGACUCAAAUAUAACAAAAAUGAUUUAAUAAUAUUAAACAAUGCAAGAGAAACCAAUUACGAUUAAUAAAGCUAUGAUCUUUACACAAUUCCCCAAAAGUCAACCCCGAGCCCACCUAGUCAAAACCCGGGUCCAAGGGUAGAUCCCUACCACCCAUAACCCCACGAGUACAUACAUGUAUUUUGUUUUCAAAUCCGAGUCCAAAUCGACUCUCAAAACCCAAAUGUUUUAUUUUUCAAAACUUUGGUAAAAAUCCCCAAAAAUCCUCUUUGCUUCUCAUAAAUUUGAUGUUAAAUCAAAUAUAUAAUCAUGAAAUAUAGUUUCAAAUUGAUUAGAAUCACUAACUAAAUGAUUGUAGAUUAAAAUCCCCUCUCCAAGUCGCCUCCUAGCGAGUCUAGGGUUCUAAAAUGAGAGAAAAUGAGAUAAAAUCCUGACUUCCAGCCGUUUUGUUCAGUUGCAGAUGUCGUAAUUGUGACUCUGGGUUCGUAAUUAUGAACCCUCACAAUUGCGAAGAAAGUCUUGCAUUUGCGGCUGCUGACAAACCCAGGAGAUGUCGCAAUUGCAACACAGACUUCGCAUUUGCGAAGUCUGCCCUCCUUGCAAAUGCGACCUAUUUAUCGCAAAUGCGAACCAGGUAUCAUAAUUUCGAUAUCUGAAUCCCCCCGUCAUGUUCGCAGUUGCAAAUCUGUAUUUGAGUCCAAACCUUUUCAAAAUAUGUCUGAAACUCAACCGAGCCCUCGAGGCUCCAAACCAAACAUCCACACAAGUCUAAAAAUAUCAUACAUCAAAAUGCAUGAAUUUCAAAGAAAAGUUCAAGAACCUCUAGAAUUGGAACCAAGCAUCUGAAUCCUAUCAAACCAACUCCGAUUAACACCAAAGUUUGCAGACAAUUUCCAAAUAGCAAAACAGACUUAUUCUAAGUCGCAAAAUCAAAUUUCAAAACCAAUAACUAAAAAGUUAGCCUACGGUCAAACUUGGGAAAACUUCUAAGCCUCAAAUUGUCAACUUUCGGCAAAAUAAGUCAAAUCAACCUAGGGAGAUCCGAAUUCGAUUUCGGAUAUACGCACAAGUCCAAAAUCACGAUACGAACCUAUCAGAGCCAUCAAAACACCGUUAUGGGUCUUUUUUCAAAAGUCAAACACUGGUUAACAUUUUUAACUCAGGCUUCUAAACCAAGAACCAAAGGGUCCAAAUGAACCCAAAAUCUUCCCGAAAUGAAACUAACCAACCCCGCAAGUCAUAAAACCACAAAUGCACAUGUGUGAAGUAUAACAAGGGGAAGCGGACCGUAGAUAGACAUAACGACUGGCCGGGUCGCCACUGUUCCUCAAAAGCGGAGGGUCAGCUUUUGGAGGAAGCUGCAGAUGCGGCCACUGUUCCACAGAAGCAGGACCGCAGGUCCGGUUAAGUGAGCCGGAGGUACGAGAAUCACUGGGUAGAUGUUAAAACAAGGGUUUUGGCCAUUCUUCUCAUUUUGGAUUUGUGAAACUCGGUCUAAGGUGAUUUUUGGGAGACUUUUUACUACAAUUGAAGAGGUAAGUUAAGUUUAAUCACUUUGAUGUUAGAUAUUGAUUACUCAUUGAUUAUUACACUUAGUUUAUGUGAAUUAGAAGUGAAAUUGGGAAUUUUAGACUAUGUUGUUGGAGAGUGAUAUUUGAUGGUUUGAGGGUCAAUUUGUCGAUGGAAUUGGAUGAAAUUAGUUUGGUUGGUCUUGAAUUGAAUGGGUAUUCGGAAUUUGUGAAUCUUGUCGGGUUCUGGGGUGCGGGCCUGGGGUUGACUUUUUGGGUUGACAUUGCAUAUUUGAUUCAAGUCGUUAACUUUAUCAUUUGAAAUUAUUUUUUAUGGCUAUUAUUAAUGGUAUUAAGUUAUUUUGGCUAGAUUUGAGCCGUCUGGAGGUUGAUACACGCGGGAAGGGCUUGUUAGAGGAGUGAUUCGGCUUGCUUGAGGUAAGUAUCUUACCUAAACUAGGUUGAGGCACUGGUUGCCUGAGUUAUUUGUGAUAGCUACAUGCUAUGUGUGGCGUAUAUGUAUGGGGUUGAGCCCAUACUCGGGCUAGUGCUUAGGCUAUGAUAUGCCUUGAAUUGAUUGCUAAGCUUCAUGUUGUGAUGUUUCUCCUAUUUGUACCCAUAUGUGAGCUAUUUAUAACCACAUUAGAGAUUACGUUAAGGUUAUUCUCUCAAGUGAACCUGAUAAACUGCUAUAUCAUGAUGAAAUUGUCUGUUCUAGGUGUGAUAGCACACAUUGCACAUGCCUACACCAUAGCAUGUUAUUUAUACCAAUCUAGGAGUAUGAAACUCGAUAAUCAUUGAUCUUGUACAUGUAUUAUUGUAUAUUUGCUUUUUGUGUGUUAUGAUUUGGACUGGUAGUCUGUGAUCAAGCCGGGCGAAUUGUGAUUAUUGGCACAUGAGUUGUCCGUGCGAUUGGUAUUAUCAGCACAUUAGUUGUUCAUGCAGCACAUGAGUUAUCUAUGCGGAUCCAGAUAUUGAUAUUAUUGGCACAUGAGUUAUCCAUGCAGCAUGGGAGUUGUCCUUGCAGUUGAUAUUAUUAGCACGUGAGUUAUCCGUACAACAUGUUGAUAUAGAUCCAUCCCCCUAGGGUCACCCUCUCAUGUGCCUUCUUGAUGGUGUACAUGCGGAUUUGAAGAAAUUGAUAAGUGGUUUGGUACGGAUAUGGAAAUAUUGAGGAAAAUCUUGCCAGUGUUAUCUUUGGAUUUUGCAUUUCAUCUUUACUUACAAUUUGCGUGGUUAAUUACCUGACUUAUUUUCAUAUCCUCUUUAUAUGUUGUAUCAAUGACUGAGCAGAGAACUUGAGUAAUUGUGCACACACAUAUGGUUCUUUCUGUGCUUUAUGACUUGAUCAAUUAUUUUUUUGUACUUGUUGAAUUGAUGAAACUGUAUAGGUUAUAGCAAGUAUCAUUUAUAAUUCUUGCUUCUUUUACCUUGCCGAGGUUAGUUAUGAUACUUGUUGAGUGUCACACCUCUUUUUUUCCGAAGAAUAGGGGAGUUUUUCCAAUUAAAGUGACAUUAUUCGAAAUGAGAUUAUUUAUUUAAUUAGAGUUGCUACUUGAAAUAUUUAUUAUGGUGUCCCAAGUCACCGGUUUAUUAUAAAAUCCUAAAUCGAAGACAUUGACUCUAUUUAUGCUCCGCAAACACAGAAGACCGAGUAAGGAAUUAUGUUAACCCGGAAGAAGGUGUGAGGAACUCUCGAGUUCCGUGGUUUUAGCACUGUCGCUUAACAAUUAAUACUUGGCUUAAUUAUCUGAAUUAUUACAUAUCUAAAAGCAUAUUGUGCAUUUUAUCUUUUACUGCUUUUAAUUAAAUUGUAACCGCUUUUAUUUUUAGCCAUUUUUAGUAUUUAUGGAAUUUAUUUGAACAAGUCACGAUGUCGCGCACUUGUUAUUUUUGUACACAUUGCAAAUCACGUCACGUGAAACGUACCCGCAAUUUAUAACAUAUUUAUUUUAUUAUUAUUUUAAGUUGGAGUCAAGUCACGUAAACGCGCACUUGAAUUGGGAUUUACAUAUCAUGACCAUGCCACGUGAACCGUACCCAUAGUCACGAUGAUUUAUUAAUUAAUCGCGCCUAAAGCAACUAGCGCAUUUGAAUUAUUUUUUCUACUUCUAGAUUAUUGUGAAGGACAUAGGUUAUGGAAUAGUUGUGGGAAAAUAUAGUAUUUAACAUUUUUUACUAAAUAAAAAAAAUGGAUUAACUUAUAUCUAAACCCAGAUUCCUUCUAAUGCACACCAUUAGUAAAAUAACAAUUAAACUCCACAAGCUCACUAAACACAUUAGAUUAUUUAAACAACUCUCAAACUCAAUGUAGCAAACUAGGCACACUCGGAAGUCUAUAAUUGAGUUUCACCCCAAUAAAUAAACACUCUUAUAUAAAGAUAUAAUCUAACUUGUGCCUCUCUAGUAAUAUUGAUCCACUUGUUUCCAUUAAGCAAAUAAAUAAUUCGUGGCACACACGGAAGAGUAAAAAUCAGAUUUUUGGCUCAAAGAGCGAAUUCUUGAGGGAACGCCUCAACCAUAAACUAAUAGAUCAGAACAUAAAACCAACAAAAUUAUCACCUAAGCAAUACAUGGUUAAUUUAAGCAAAUAUGCAGCAGGAUAUUUCAAGCAAUAAUCUUUAUCUAAUCAAAAUAAAUAAAUAAAUUCGAACCAGCAUCUAAAGAAAAAUCGACGCACAGAUAGAUCAAUAACAGAGAAUGAAGAUAAGAGAUUGGACCUCUAUUGAUUUCUUUGCAAUUUGAGAAAAAGGACAAAACAAACUCUGACACGUGAAACCAAACUUCAACGCCGAGACCGAUGGGAAAGCGGCAUCCAGGACACAAACAGAGUACUCGAACAGAAACUCGCCAUUGACUGGAAACCUUGAACCCAGCAAAACAUCACUGUUUUAGGUGGGGAAAAAAAAGACUAUUCUGAGGUAUUUUUAUGGCUAAUUUGGUGUAUUUUUCUGGAUUUUCUUUGCGUUAUUUGGGCCGAGGUGAGGACAUUUUUUAAACUGUUUUUGCUGGAUUUGAGGGCUAUUUUCGGAGCUGAUUUUCGGGACUGUUUCAGCUGAAUUUUGGGGCUGGAUUUCACUGGUUUUACUGAGUUUUGGGGACUGUUUUGAUCAUGUUUUGGGGGUGUUUUUCAGCAGUGUUUUGGCUGUAUUUUGGCUGGAAUUUUGGACUGUUGUUUAGGCUGUUUCGAGGUGAUUUAGAGGCUGGUUUAUCGAAAGUUUUCAGCUCAUUUUUGGAGCUUUACUCGGCUGGUUUCAAUGGAGUUUUAGGGGGUUGCUUUUGGGGUGUUCAUGGCUGAAAAAGAAGAGGAUGUAUGGGGGUUUUGGGUGGUGUUUUAGUGGCUUUAUGACUAAUUUACAGGGUGGUUUAGGGGGCUUUUUGAGCUAAUUUUCACAUUGGGAAGAAAAGUUCGUGAGCUGCCGCUAUAGUGAAGAAGAAGUCGUGGAUUUUCAUUGCUGCUAUGAGGAAGGGAAAAAUCCCUCUUUUCUUUCCAAUCCCCCGUUUCUCUCUCGUUUUUCAGCGAUUUUCCCCAACCCCCUUUUUGUUUGUGCUCUGUUUUUCCCUAAAUGUGUGAUGAGUGUGUAGAUAUAUAGCUGAGUGAGGGUGUGAAUAUAGUGCCAAAAAUAUGAGCAGGUGAGUGGAUAUUACUUGGGAGGAAUCUUUCUCUCUUUCCAAUGCACUCCAAAGAAAAAAUAUGUUAUGUGAGAGAACGUGAGGCACGAAAAUGAAAUUGGCAAUGCCAGGGAAUCUUUUGCAACUUGGCCAUUUCUGAUUGGUACUUUUUAUUUUUUUAUUUUAAAAUUCUUU